rnacentral:rRNA from 1 species
GGGGAAUUUUGGACAAUGGGCGCAAGCCUGAUCCAGCCAUUCCGCGUGCAUGACGAAGGCCUUCGGGUUGUAAACUGCUUUUGUACGGAACGAAAAGGCUCUGGCUAAUAACUGGGGCUCAUGACGGUACCGUAAGAAUAAGCACCGGCUAACUACGUGCCAGCAGCCGCGGUAAUACGUAGGGUGCAAGCGUUAAUCGGAAUUACUGGGCGUAAAGCGUGCGCAGGCGGUUAUGUAAGACAGAGGUGAAAUCCCCGGGCUCAACCUGGGAACUGCCUUUGUGACUGCAUAGCUGGAGUACGGCAGAGGGGGAUGGAAUUCCGCGUGUAGCAGUGAAAUGCGUAGAUAUGCGGAGGAACACCGAUGGCGAAGGCAAUCCCCUGGGCCUGUACUGACGCUCAUGCACGAAAGCGUGGGGAGCAAACA